UACGUAGGGUGCGAGCGUUUGUCCGGAAUUAUUGGGCGUAAAGAGCUCGUAGGCGGUCUGUCGCGUCGAUACGUGGAAAACUUGGGGCUUACCCUGAGCUUGCGGUCGAUACGGGCAUGACUGGAGUUCGGCAGGGGAGACUGGAAUUCCUGGUGUAGCGGUGAAAUGCGCAGAUAUCAGGAGGAACACCGGUGGCGAAGGCGGGUCUCUGGGCCGAUACUGACGCUGAGGAGCGAAAGCGUGGGGAGCGAACAGG
rnacentral:rRNA from 1 species